AUCCGGCUGACGAGUCCGAAAUAGGACGAAACGUGCAUCCUGGAU
rnacentral:hammerhead_ribozyme from 1 species